rnacentral:rRNA from 1 species
GGGGAAUUUUGGACAAUGGGGGCAACCCUGAUCCAGCAACGCCGCGUGAGGGAUGAAGGUCUUCGGAUUGUAAACCUCUUUUGUGAGGGAAGAACUGUCACGUGAAGAACGUGAUUUGACGGUACUUCAUGAAUAAGCCACGGCUAACUUCGUGCCAGCAGCCGCGGUAAUACGAAGGUGGCAAGCGUUACUCGGAAUUACUAGGCGUAAAGCGCAGGUAGGUGGUUGGAUAAGUCUGUUAUGAAAUCUCCCGGCUUAACUGGGAGCGGUUAAUGGAUACUGUCCGGCUCGAGUGUGGGAGAGGUAACUGGAAUUCCAGGUGUGGCGGUGAAAUGCGUAGAUAUCUGGAGGAACACCAAUGGCGAAAGCAGGUUACUGGCCCAAUACUGACACUGAGCUGCGAAAGCUAGGGGAGCAAAC